UACGAAGGGGGCUAGCGUUGUUCGGAAUUACUGGGCGUAAAGCGCACGUAGGCGGACUUGUAAGUCAGGGGUGAAAUCCCAGAGCUUAACUCCGGAACUGCCAUUGAUACUGCAAGUCUUGAGGAUGAGAGAGGUGAGUGGAACUGCGAGUGUAGAGGUGAAAUUCGUAGAUAUUCGCAAGAACACCAGUGGCGAAGGCGGCUCACUGGCUCAUUUCUGACGCUGAGGUGCGAAAGCGUGGGGAGCAAACAGG
rnacentral:rRNA from 1 species